AGAACCUUGGCACACAUUAAGUACUUAAUAAAUGCUUAUUAACUUGUCUCUGUGGCAGCACAGUGAAGAAAGCCCAGAAGAUGACAUCAGGAAUUUGUACCUAAGUGGAAGAUGACAUGAUCAGUCAGCAGAUGACAUCAGCAGCUCAGCGGGAAACAGAAAAGGCAGCUACAGAGGCAGAGCGGAGUUUUGUCUGAGAUGCUACCGGUGCUGUGGUGACUGAAAAAAGGAGAUCCAGAGAGGGUGAAAUGGUGGAAAUGGCUGAAACCCAAAGCUCCUGAUUUCCAACACAGAAAGUGUCCUUUCUACUCCAACAGACCUUCCUCUACUGGAGCCUGAUUCUCUGCCAUGAAUAAUAACAAUUGUCACAAAAAUUCCCAGGGGCCUGUUUUCACAUCCAUCCCCAUCUGCCUGCUUACUGCAUGAUCUGCAAGUAAGAAUUUCCUCUUAUUUGUUUCAAGUUACGCUUGGGGUGCUGGGAUUGCAGAUGGGAGUAAGCCUGCAGAGCUCUGGGCCAGCCUGACUGCUGAGAAGAUGUCAUAUAAUAUUGCAUUAUAUAUUAUAUCCUACAUAAUAUG